GUUAGCUAGCUACUGUUUGACUAUCCCGAAUGAAGUCAUUUUACAUCCUUCAUCAUCCUGUCUUUCAUUGCCCUUAUGCUGGCACCAUCUGAGGCCCUUGACAAAAGAUGACUGAAGGCCAUUGUUGUUAUGGGUUUCUAGGUUAUGCGGUGGAGAAAUGUGGCUGCAACAAAGAAGAGGAUCUUUAGAGACUCAAGUAAAAGUUGAAUGAAGAAGGCCUCAAAGGAGUUAACGGGUGUAAAUAUGUAAAGUGUUUUUAUAAGCUCUUUAUGAAUUGUUUGAUGAUAUGUGUACAGUUGGGAACUUGAAGAAAUAACAUGUGCACUAGUCUAGUAGUAAUUGUACUGAAAAAAAUGAUGCCAAUAGUGAUUUUGAAUAGGCAAACAAUAGUACAUGUGUCAGUUUUCAAUAGUAAUUCAAAAUGGUUUAUGUAGGAAAUGAAAAAGGAUUUGGAACAAUUCAGUAGUGACAACACUACAUGCACAGGUUGCAGUAAUAAUUCAGUAGGGAUUGAGUAGGCAUACAGUGGUAAUGUCUAGGCAUUGUGUAGUAAUUCAAUAGUGAACAUGUACUGUAGGAAUGUGUAGAUUUUACGUAGUAGAUACCCAAAAGCUCAGUAGUUACACAGUAGUCAUUCAGGAAGAAUUAUGUAGUGAUUCGAAUUGGAAAUAUGUAGUGUUCAAAGAAAUGUCCCAAUUUACCACUCAUUACUACUUAAAUUACUACAUAAAUCACUACUACUUUUUUACUUAACAUCUCAAUAGCAAUCAAGUAGUAAAACCAGUAGGUUUUGUGUGUAUCUUUUGUAGUACUGAUGAGUUGUGAUUCAGUAGUACGUUUUCAUGAGGGAGGGCUCAAUGUGAUUGAUCAGUCAUACAUUGUGCUAAUAUAUUUGAUCUCAGUCUUUAUACUUAGAUUAUGGUACAUGGCAUGGAAGGUUGUUCAGAUCGAUUGAAUCACAGUACAGUUGAGUUAGAUGACACGAUUGACAGUUCAGUUGUCAUUUAGUCUGUGAUCCUUGUCUUGAUUGGCUUGGGUUAGGAUUGGCCAGCCGGAAGCUACUUCUCAGCGGCAGGGACUGGGAGACUAGUCAGGAUCGAGGCAAAGCUGA